GGCAACAUGGCCGAGUGGUCUAAGGCGCCAGAAUCAGGAGGGCGCUUUGUCCGAAUAAUCUGGUCCUCCGGGGCGUGGGUUCGAAUCCCACUGUUGUCA